ensembl:snoRNA
AUUCUUUUCUAAUUCAUGAACAUGAUGUUUGGGUAUUUAUACUAUUGUGAUCCGCCUGCCUCAAACACUGUUACAACAUUGGCAACCUUACUAACC